ACUAUAAAGAAUGAGGUUUUGAAAUUAGCUAAAAAGUUUUGNUAGUAUGACAGGUUUGGAAACAGAUCCUUCUUCGGACAUAUUACAAGGUGCUGCAUGGUUGUCGUCAGCUCGUGCCGUGAGGUGUCAGGUUAAGUCCUAUAACGAGCGCAACCCCUGUUGUUAGUUGCCAUCGAGUAAUGUCGGGAACUCUAACAAGACUGCCGGUGCAAACCGUGAGGAAGGUGGGGAUGACGUCAAAUCAUCACGGCCCUUACGUCCUGGGCUACACACGUGCUACAAUGGCAGGUACAGAGAGCAGCCACCAUGCAAAUGGGAGCGAAUCUAUAAAGCCUGUCUCAGUUCGGAUUGGAGUCUGCAACCCGACUCCAUGAAGCUGGAAUCGCUAGUAAUCGCAUAUCAGCCAUGAUGCGGUGAAUACGUUCC
rnacentral:ncRNA from 1 species